CACAUUCAAAUUAUACAGUUCGAGUCAUAACGACAACCUUUGUUGAUAUCAAGCCAGAAACCACAACUCGAACCUUUACAACCCCCGAAGGAGUGCCAAACCAUAGUCCUGAGUUACAGCCAACUUUUCUUGGAGUGUAUGAUUGUACUGAAAAUAAAAGAAAUGUGACGGUGAACUGGAAGUUUCCAGAUCCGAGGGAACGAAAUGGCGUGAUAAGGAACGUAACCGUGAA